rnacentral:rRNA from 1 species
UACGAAGGGGGCUAGCGUUACUCGGAUUGACUGGGCGUAAAGGGCGCGUAGGCGGUUUGUACAGUCAGACGUGAAAUUCCUGGGCUCAACCUGGGGGCUGCGUUUGAUACGUGCAGACUUGAGUUCGGAAGAGGGUCGCGGAAUUCCCGGUGUAGAGGUGAAAUUCGUAGAUAUCGGGAGGAACACCGGUGGCGAAGGCGGCGACCUGGGUAGAUACUGACGCUGAGGCGCGAAAGCGUGGGGAGCAAACAGG